rnacentral:rRNA from 1 species
GCGCACGCUGGCGGCAUGCUUAACCCAUGCAAGUCGCGCGGGUGGUUUCGGCCAUCAGCGGCGGACGGGUGAGUAUCGCGUAGGAAUGUAUCCCGAGGUGGGGGACAACCCUGGGAAACUGGGGCUAAUACCGCAUGGGGCCUGUGGGCCAAAGCCUUAGGGCGCCUUGGGAGCAGCCUGCGUCCGAUUAGGUAGUUGGUGGGGUAAAGGCCUACCAAGCCUGCGAUCGGUAGCUGGUCUGAGAGGACGAUCAGCCACACUGGGACUGAGACACGGCCCAGACUCCUACGGGAGGCAGCAGUGGGUAAUAUUGGACAAUGGGCGCAAGCCUGAUCCAGCAAUGCCGCGUGGGUGAAGAAGGUCUUCGGAUUGUAAAGCCCUUUCGGCGGGGACGAUGAUGACGGUACCCGCAGAAGAAGCCCCGGCUAACUUCGUG